rnacentral:tRNA from 1 species
GUGUCAGUGUCGUCUAGUGGUUAGGACGCGAGCUUCACACGCUCGCAGAUCGAGGGUUCGAUCCCCUCAUUGAUACU